rnacentral:rRNA from 1 species
GACGUAGGAUGCAAGCGUUGUCCGGAUUUAUUGGGCGUAAAGAGUUCGUAGGCGGUCUGUUAAGUCUGAUGUUAAAGAUCGGGGCUCAACCCUGGGAGUGCAUUGGAUACUGGCAGACUGGAGUGUGGUAGAGGUAAGUGGAAUUCCUGGUGUAGCGGUGAAAUGCGUAGAUAUCAGGAAGAACACCGGUGGCGUAGGCGACUUACUGGGCCAUAACUGACGCUGAGGAACGAAAGCCAGGGGAGCAAAUGGG